UAUGGCCAUAUCAAGUUAAAACAUUGGUUCUCAUAUGAUCACUAAUGUUAAGCAACAUUGAGCCUGAUCAGUGCCUGGAUGGGUGACUGCUUGGGAAUACCAGGUGCU